UUACGGCCAUAUCACGUUGAAACACCAAUUCUCGUAUGAUCGCCGAAGUUAAGCAACAUCGAGUCUGGUCCGUUACUAGAAGGGUGACCACUUGGGAAUACCAGAUGCAGCUA